GGUUGGCACGAGAAUAGGUAACAUGAUAUAAUGUCAGCCAAUGAAAUGUAGAGGAAGGUUGCUGGGGGCCUGGCAGGAAGUUUCCUAAGAGAAAAACACAGGAAAGAGUUUCUUUUUCUCUUCAUGGUUACAAAUGGAUGUGAGGCCUGGAAAUGCUAAACUCAUCUCAGAACCAGCUGGAGGAUGAGGUCAACAAGCAGAAGGGCAGAGCCAGAAGCACAGGAGAACUGAGGACAAAUGGCCAGGAGUGCAACUGCUGGUAUGGAGGCUUAAAGAUUUGGACUAAAAGACAGUCAAGUCUGAAGAUGCCUAAUGUUUCCAUUAAAAAAAAAAAAAAUAAGAUCUUCCUUGGGAUCACCUGUCUGGGUGGCUCAGGCAAUCAGGACAGUGAGAAGUUAUUUACAGAAGAGUUUGUUGGACCAUGCAUUAAUAAGGGCCCCGAGCAUUUACCAAAGGUACUGUGUAGUAAGAACCAUUCCACAAGCAGAGUUAUAAACACUAAUGUAUGAGUAUGAACACUGAACUAGUAUCUUUCAAGAUUCACAGAGGGCUGAGUCUGUUCCCCUGUAAAUGAACAUAAAAGCUUCACAUAGUGAAGACUGCUUUUCAAGGUAGAAAAAACAGGAAGGAAAAAGAUAAAAUGUGGUCUGAUUUUCCUGAGGGACUAUUUUUAGGAGUGUAUAAUACUCUAGAAAGGCAGUUUUUCUAGUGUCAGAGGUUGUUAAAAGAGCUUGGUUGGCUACCUCACCCAGAAUGUAUCUGGAGCUAGACUGCCAGAACCCUGGUUCAGGUACUUACUAGUUGAGUGACUUAAAGACUCAAAAAACAAUAGUUACACCUUCCUGAGGAUGGGCACAGCUCUGGGGGGGACAGCUCUCUACUGUACUGAAGAUAGCCUGCAUGGAACAUUGAGCUUUGAGCCCCUGGUAAACAGAGCAGCAUCUAGCAAUGGAGUGACCUCUAGUGGGGAGUAAAGACCUCCAAGAAAGGAAAAGAGAACUGGUUCCUGACAGAAGAAAAUCCACAAAUUGUGGAACUGUUGAGUCCCAGAAAAUCCUCUCCUUGUUCACCAUAGCCUGCCUGGUUCCUAAGGGACAGUGUCCAUGAGGCGCAGCGACUAUUUUGGAGGCCAAUUCCCUGGGACUGUUAAAAGGAAGACUCUGAGGGUCAUGUCUUGAAGGGCUGGCACAGCUUAGCAUUUAAAACUCCUCACUCCAUGCCCUGUGGCACUGCCUGAGACUUCAUGAGGAUGAAGCCACUCAUCCUUUAGGAUGAAGCAGUCACCUUGUUAGGAACGAGAGGUCCUAACACCACACAGCACUUGUCUCAAUCCGAAUAACAAAACAAUAAAAAGGUUUUAGUGGAAGCAUGA